AUUGAACGCUGGCGGCAUGCCUUACACAUGCAAGUCGAACGGCAGCACGGGUGCUUGCACCUGGUGGCGAGUGGCGAACGGGUGAGUAAUACGUCGGAACGUACCUUAUCGUGGGGGAUAACGCAGCGAAAGUUGCGCUAAUACCGCAUACGCCCUGAGGGGGAAAGCGGGGGACCGUAAGGCCUCGCGCGAUUAGAGCGGCCGAUGUUUGAUUAGCUUGUUGGUGAGGUAAAAGCUCACCAAGGCGAUGAUCAGUAGCUGGUCUGAGAGGACGAUCAGCCACACGGGGACUGAGACACGGCCCAGACUCCUACGGGAGGCAGCAGUGGGGAAUUUUGGACAAUGGGGGCAACCCUGAUCCAGCAAUGCCGCGUGAGUGAAGAAGGCCUUCGGGUUGUAAAGCUCUUUUGUCAGGGAAGAAACAGCAGCUCUAACACAGUCUGCGAAUGACGGUACCUGAAGAAUAAGCACCGGCUAACUACGUGCCAGCCGCCGCAGUAA
rnacentral:rRNA from 1 species